AAAAAAUUAGUUAAUAUAUAACAUUAAAUUGUCAAUUUAAAAUUAUUAAAAAAUAAUAUUUUUUU
rnacentral:tRNA from 1 species